rnacentral:tRNA from 1 species
GGCGGUGUAGCUCAGUGGUUAGAGCAGAGGAAUCAUAAUCCUUGUGUCCGGAGUUCAAAUCUCUGCACCGCCACCA